rnacentral:lncRNA from 1 species
AUUGUUGGAGAAAGCCACUGAAGGAAAAAGGAUGGCCCUGAAAGCAAAACUAGGUUCAAAGUUCAGAUGUGGGUUGUGAGAAGAGAGAGGUAUGGAGGCAUAUGGACUCUUCCAGAACCCUAGGGCCCAGGAGGGUGCCAUAAACUGCUGUCUCUCACCUGUUGAUGGAGCUGACACUGGGGACAGUGUCAUUGUCACAAACGCCUUCUGCCAGGAGCCGGUCCCGGAUCUCCCAAGCAAACAUGCUGGAAAUAAGUGCAUCCAAACCUGUCUGGAUGUAACGCUCCCAUGGUAAAUAACGUUUAAAGAAAGACAUGGCAUCCUUUCAUUCAUGGUGAAAGUCCACUUUGCUUUUCUGCCUCUGGAAUGUCAGCAUAAUGGCAGAGGUAUCCAGGCUUAAGAAUAUUGCCUGUGGUGGCCCUGAGACUCUCUGUCCCCAAUGCUUCAUGGAAAGGAUGAGGCCUGCUGCUGUUGCUGUUCCCCAUAGCUUUGUCCUGACCCAGCAAGGGCUAUUAAGCCCAACUUCAUUGCCCACCACACUGAAGGGCUUAGUUUUGGCCAAUAGACACCUGUGGAAGAUUGGAGCUAGCUGUGUACUGGGGUUGGGACAGAUGCCAAAGGCCCCAAGGAGAAGAAUUGCUCCAAAAUUCUAAAGCAAAGCAGAAUGGUAGGGAUGGCAGUGUCUUCUGAGCAGUGGGUCCUGCCUGAAUAAUGUGCCCUCAAUGCCUCAUCCUCAGGAUACAAAAGGCUGAACUCUGGGAGGAAUAAGUCCUUAAAAUUGCCACUAGUAACUAUCCAGCUCAAGGAAGAUCCACCAUGACCUCCAGCAAAUGAUCACCUGUCCCUGUGCCUCAGCUUAUGAGAACAAUGCUGAAUCCAAGAAUGUCUACUGAACCUCCAUGACCAUCCAUGUUCUUUAAUUUUAUAAGGUCCUGGGGUCAGGGAAACAGGGCAUGGCUGGAUACAGCAUAUUCCCUUAUUCAGAUCUGAAACCAUACACUACAAAACCAAGAUGGUAUGGGCUGUUUCCCCAUUCAAAAAUGAUCUCACAAUCCGGAGCAGAGACCCAGGGAGCUUGGAGUCUACAUCCCCACUAGGUCUGUUAUCACUUUCUUGCAACUGUGGAUUCAACCAGAAUAUAACCAGUCACACCUGUAAUUUCAUAUCUGAGUCUCUCGAAGUCUCUGAGAACAGAGGGCCUUCUCUUUCCCACUUAUCACCUCUAGUUCUAGGGCAAUUUCAAAGCAUUGAAAGUUUUAUUCCCAGUGUGUUUAUGUGUGUAAGAAGGUAGUGUAUGCAAACUUAUAUCUGCCAGUAUAUGUGGUAUAUGUAUGAGAUAGAGAACUAAACUGAAAAUGGCCAGGUGUCCAGACUACAAAAUUUAAGAAGCCACUCACUCAUUCUCAGAACUGGCCAUGCUCUUGCAUGAGCUCACAAGAACCUUUAUACUUCUCUCUAGUUUCAGCCGCGCACUCGUGUGUGUGUGUGUGUGUGUGUGUGUGUGUGUGUGUGUGUGUGUGUGUGUGUUGAUGUGUGUGCAUCUAGGUGUGUCUCAGCAGCUCUCGGUGGACUUUAGCCUGUGAAGGAGGCCUUUUCUUCCAUUUUCUAAAUCCUGCACAUUCAGAAAAGACCACAGACAUCUCUCUCUCUCUCUUUCUCUUUCUCUCUCUCUCUCUCUCUCUCUCCCUGUCUCUCUCUCCCUGUCUCUCUCUCUCAUCUUAAUCUACCCUCCCCACACUUUGGGAUGUACCACAAAGUGACUGAGAAAGCUCUGGGUUUUAAGAAGACGUCCCUGCUCUAACACAGGACUGUAGGACCUGGAUCCAGAUGUGCAAACGCCCAGUCUCCUGUCAGCACAGUGUGAUGACAGGGCCUCAUCUGUGACUCUCUUGACCUUAACACUUCCGGGACAGUUAGACUAUUUAGUGGUAUUAAAUACUAAGAGGCUCUUGGCGUUUGUGUUUGAGUGUCCUGACAGACCCAUACACAGCUCAAGCCUAGAGUAUAGGAGCUAUAAAGAUAAAUACCCCUAUGCAAAUAGACUACAAACAGCCAUAAAAUCACAGCAGUAAGAUUUCUUGAGAAAAUGAGGAAGAGGAAAAAAGUAGAAAACUUUACAAGAGAUGGUAGGUCUGCUGAAAAUAGUUCAGAUACAGGCAACAAGUGCUUCACAUACAACAUCAACGCUUUGAGGCAGGACCAGUGGGUCCCAACCACUGACAAAAUCAACAGCUCCUGAACUCAGCCAUGAACACAGUAUAAACAGUCAGAAGAGCUUCAGAGCUGGGUGUGCCUGAUCCUAAAGGCAGCCUUUCAAGACCCCCUUUUAAUCCUCUACCAACGGGAACCUUAGGUUCUCUGGGCUCAAGGUGGAUACUGUCUAUGUGGGGCAGAUCGACAAACAGAAAAAAGUAGUCUGCAAACAGUGAAAGGCUGAGACAAUUGUGUCUACACUGCAUGAUACAGAGAACAACUUCUAGAGAGAUGAAAUCUGAACAGUACAUCCUGGGCUGGCGCGGAUGUGCUGCUGAGCCGCGGGUAUUCCCAGGCAGAGGACCCCUCCCAUCUGAUGGAGCCUAGCAUUUCAGCUCUGCAGAAAUGCGCAUCUGUUCAUGAUACUGACACCUAUAAUUCUGCCUCAUUUUGAGUUGUCCAGCCAUAUGGAGAUGAAUCUCCGGGAGAUUGCUGUUCCUGUCCAGAAUCCCAGGAUAUCUCUCUGGAGCAGAAUGCUUCUAGGAUCCACCAGACCACAGAUGGCCACAGGAGGUUUAUAUGUCAGCCAUGAUGAUGUCGUUUCUUUCUAGUAGCGGUUCAAGGCAAAUGACCUCAGCUUCCUGGUGCUCCCAAAUGACCUGUCUGUCUGUGUUUGUCUUCAUCCUGCCCCUGAACUGUUUUGUCUGCUCAUUGCCAGUGCUGGUACUCUGGGUCUGUUCCCUUUAAAAGGAUACACAGGAAUCUACUUUCUUGCCCUGAGUUGGUGCCUCUCAACUCUUCAUGAUGGAAGCCCAGCCACUCACCUUUUUUUUGUUCUGGCCACAAGUGUUAGCAUCCCUGGCGUGGAGCCCUGAAUAUGGUAGGCAGCACUUCAUGUAGGCUAGUUAAGCUGAAAUAAACUGCUGCCUCUCAGAUUCCAGCUGCUUCUA